GUGAAUCAUCAAAUUUUUGAACGCAAAUUGCACUCUCCUCGGAGAGUAUGCCUGUUUGAGGGUCAGCCUCUAAAAAAUCGACAUCGUUGCUGUUUCGCGGUGGCGUUCGUCGGAAAUUGGGUUAUCUUAAAUCCUUUUGGGUUUUAAGCGACUUAAAAUUUUCUUUACGAUUCUACGACCGUUUCUAAGAUUUACUUACACGUUUAAGGUAUCGAUCUUUAUUAGACGUGGCCGUUGCAUUGGAUCGCGUCCAUAAAUAUUUAGUUAACUG
rnacentral:misc_RNA from 1 species